rnacentral:rRNA from 1 species
GGCGAACGCUGGCGGCGUGCCUAAUACAUGCAAGUAGAACGCACAGUUUAUACCGUAGCUUGCUACACCAUAGACUGUGAGUUGCGAACGGGUGAGUAACGCGUAGGUAACCUGCCUGGUAGCGGGGGAUAACUAUUGGAAACGAUAGCUAAUACCGCAUAAUAUUAAUUAUUGCAUGAUAAUUAAUUGAAAGGUGCAAUUGCACCACUACCAGAUGGACCUUCGUUGUAUUAGCUAGUAGGUGAGGUAACGGCUCACCUAGGCGACGAGACAUAGCCGACCUGGGAGGGUGAUCGGCCACACUGGGACUGAGACACGGCCCAGACUCCUACGGGAGGCAGCAGUAGGGAAUCUUCGGCAAUGGACGAAAGUCUGACCGAGCAACGCCGCGUGAGUGAAGAAGGUUGUCGGAUCGUAAAGCUCUGUUGUAAGAGAAGAACGGGUGUGAGAGUGGAAAGUUCACACUGUGACGGUAUCUUACCAGAAAGGGACGGCUAACUACGUG